UAAGCGACUAAGCGUACACGGUGGAUGCCCUGGCAGUCAGAGGCGAUGAAGGGCGUGCUAAUCUGCGAUAAGCGCCGGUAAGGUGAUAUGAACCGUUAUAACCGGCGAUACCCGAAUGGGGAAACCCAGUGUGAUUCGUCACACUAUCAUUAACUGAAUCCAUAGGUUAAUGAGGCGAACCGGGGGAACUGAAACAUCUAAGUACCCCGAGGAAAAGAAAUCAACCGAGAUUCCCCCAGUAGCGGCGAGCGAACGGGGAGGAGCCCAGAGCCUGAAUCAGCAUGUGUGUUAGUGGAAGCGUCUGGAAAGGCGCGCGAUACAGGGUGACAGCCCCGUACACAAAAGCGCAUGUGCUGUGAGCUCGAUGAGUAGGGCGGGACACGUGGUAUCCUGUCUGAAUAUGGGGGGACCAUCCUCCAAGGCUAAAUACUCCUGACUGACCGAUAGUGAACCAGUACCGUGAGGGAAAGGCGAAAAGAACCCCGGCGAGGGGAGUGAAAAAGAACCUGAAACCGUGUACGUACAAGCAGUGGGAGCACAGGUUUACCUGUGUGACUGCGUACCUUUUGUAUAAUGGGUCAGCGACUUAUAUUCUGUAGCAAGGUUAACCGAAUAGGGGAGCCGGAGGGAAACCGAGUCUUAAUUGGGCGUUAAGUUGCAGGGUAUAGACCCGAAACCCGGUGAUCUAGCCAUGGGCAGGUUGAAGGUUGGGUAACACUAACUGGAGGACCGAACCGACUAAUGUUGAAAAAUUAGCGGAUGACCUGUGGCUGGGGGUGAAAGGCCAAUCAAACCGGGAGAUAGCUGGUUCUCCCCGAAAGCUAUUUAGGUAGCGCCUCGUGAAUUCAUCUCCGGGGGUAGAGCACUGUUUCGGCUAGGGGGCCAUCCCGGCUUACCAACCCGAUGCAAACUGCGAAUACCGGAGAAUGUUAUCACGGGAGACACACGGCGGGUGCUAACGUCCGUCGUGAAGAGGGAAACAACCCAGACCGCCAGCUAAGGUCCCAAAGUCAUGGUUAAGUGGGAAACGAUGUGGGAAGGCCCAGACAGCCAGGAUGUUGGCUUAGAAGCAGCCAUCAUUUAAAGAAAGCGUAAUAGCUCACUGGUCGAGUCGGCCUGCGCGGAAGAUGUAACGGGGCUAAACCAUGCACCGAAGCUGCGGCAGCGACGCUUAUGCGUUGUUGGGUAGGGGAGCGUUCUGUAAGCCUGUGAAGGUGUGUCGUGAGGCAUGCUGGAGGUAUCAGAAGUGCGAAUGCUGACAUAAGUAACGAUAAAGCGGGUGAAAAGCCCGCUCGCCGGAAGACCAAGGGUUCCUGUCCAACGUUAAUCGGGGCAGGGUGAGUCGACCCCUAAGGCGAGGCCGAAAGGCGUAGUCGAUGGGAAACGGGUUAAUAUUCCCGUACUUGGUGUUACUGCGAAGGGGGGACGGAGAAGGCUAUGUUGGCCGGGCGACGGUUGUCCCGGUUUAAGCGUGUAGGUGUGUGUUCCAGGUAAAUCCGGUUCACUUUAACACUGAGGCGUGAUGACGAGGCACUACGGUGCUGAAGUAACAAAUGCCCUGCUUCCAGGAAAAGCCUCUAAGCAUCAGGUAACAUCAAAUCGUACCCCAAACCGACACAGGUGGUCAGGUAGAGAAUACCAAGGCGCUUGAGAGAACUCGGGUGAAGGAACUAGGCAAAAUGGUGCCGUAACUUCGGGAGAAGGCACGCUGACACGUAGGUGAAGUGAUUUACUCAUGGAGCUGAAGUCAGUCGAAGAUACCAGCUGGCUGCAACUGUUUAUUAAAAACACAGCACUGUGCAAACACGAAAGUGGACGUAUACGGUGUGACGCCUGCCCGGUGCCGGAAGGUUAAUUGAUGGGGUCAGCGCAAGCGAAGCUCCUGAUCGAAGCCCCGGUAAACGGCGGCCGUAACUAUAACGGUCCUAAGGUAGCGAAAUUCCUUGUCGGGUAAGUUCCGACCUGCACGAAUGGCGUAAUGAUGGCCAGGCUGUCUCCACCCGAGACUCAGUGAAAUUGAACUCGCUGUGAAGAUGCAGUGUACCCGCGGCAAGACGGAAAGACCCCGUGAACCUUUACUAUAGCUUGACACUGAACAUUGAGCCUUGAUGUGUAGGAUAGGUGGGAGGCUUUGAAGUGUGGACGCCAGUCUGCAUGGAGCCGACCUUGAAAUACCACCCUUUAAUGUUUGAUGUUCUAACGUGGACCCGUUACCCGGGUUGCGGACAGUGUCUGGUGGGUAGUUUGACUGGGGCGGUCUCCUCCUAAAGAGUAACGGAGGAGCACGAAGGUUGGCUAAUCCUGGUCGGACAUCAGGAGGUUAGUGCAAUGGCAUAAGCCAGCUUGACUGCGAGCGUGACGGCGCGAGCAGGUGCGAAAGCAGGUCAUAGUGAUCCGGUGGUUCUGAAUGGAAGGGCCAUCGCUCAACGGAUAAAAGGUACUCCGGGGAUAACAGGCUGAUACCGCCCAAGAGUUCAUAUCGACGGCGGUGUUUGGCACCUCGAUGUCGGCUCAUCACAUCCUGGGGCUGAAGUAGGUCCCAAGGGUAUGGCUGUUCGCCAUUUAAAGUGGUACGCGAGCUGGGUUUAGAACGUCGUGAGACAGUUCGGUCCCUAUCUGCCGUGGGCGCUGGAGAACUGAGGGGGGCUGCUCCUAGUACGAGAGGACCGGAGUGGACGCAUCACUGGUGUUCGGGUUGUCAUGCCAAUGGCACUGCCCGGUAGCUAAAUGCGGAAGAGAUAAGUGCUGAAAGCAUCUAAGCACGAAACUUGCCCCGA
rnacentral:rRNA from 1 species